AUUACCCCCCUCACCGAUCAGACAACCAUUAUCCCCCUCACCGAUCAGACAAGUUUGAAGAAACAGAAAACCCUCAAAUCAUCACAAAAAACCCUAAAAAAUCACCACCAGACCCCCUCAAAAUCAAUGUCUUCUUUCCUGCAUUUCUCUCUGUUCCACCAUCAAAUCCCCAGUUCCAGUCUCACCUUCAUUUCCCCUUUCCUCGUCACUUCUCACCAAUAUAAUGGGGAAAGAAAAUCAAGAAAACAUGGUUAUGUGGGUUUAAACAAAAUCAAGAAAAACAGCAGGGAUAAAGAUUGGCUACUGAAAGCAAACUGGGGUAGUCAAAGCCGGAGGGUGUCAUUCCGCCUUCUCUUGUCACUGAUGGAUAGUUCGCCUCUGCACCCACUGCUUCUUCGGAUGCCUCUCCCACUAGAAAGGAGGAAUGAACUGAGACUCGACUCGAAGUAGACCCAUUCGGUCAGUCUCGGCUUGGUUCCGUUAAUGGUUGAAAUGGAUGAUUUUUGAAGCACCCUUUCUUCUUUUUAUACACAGCGUUGGAGCUUUCCCAUUAGAGAUCGUACCCACGAUCGAAGGAAAGUGAGAUUUGUACAAAUAUAACCAAGAUAAAACUCCUGCAAAAAUUGAUACCAGCCUGUAGGUCCUGUACCGACAGAGUAGUGCGACAGGUAAAGCAUGGUUUCUAUAGCUAUGUUGAAUUCACUAACUCUAUUUGCAGUCCGUUGUUAUGUGGGCAAUCAAGAUUAAUAGCUAAUGAGAUCGAGCUAUUUCUUUUGUUUUUGAGUAGUUCCAUGUUCUGUAACUCCUUUUGGAUAUGUCUUCCGCAAAUUUUGAAUAUUUCUUUUGUCUUAAGGGCGGACUUGAUGGUAUUUAGAUCUAAACACAUUGAAGCUUGAUUGCCAAUGAUUGUUAAAAAUCUUUACUCGAGUACAAAACCCAUAUCUUGUUUUCUUGGUUUUCGGAAAUUGUCUAUACUGAGAACAUUCCUUUUUUCUUUUUUCCUUUUCAUGGUUUAAAUAUUGUAUUUCACCUUGUUUAAUCAUUUAUAGCCCUCCAGUUUGACGACACACAUUUUCUGAUCCCAGCCAUUGAAGUUGAUUCAUAUUGCAUUCAAUAUGUUAAAGUGGAAGAGAUAUUGCCAUUAUUUUCACAAAUAAUGCGUCAACCAUUAUGCGGAGUGAUCAGAUCUAUAAGUGGAGAAAUGUUUGUUAAUUUGUUGACACUAGGUAUCUAUGGUUGAUAAAAUUACAACCAUAGAGGAUAAGACCUAAAACCAAAUUAAGAAGGCCUAUCUUGGUUGACCUUUGAAAACUUCUCAUAAGGAAAUAGAGCAUCAAAUGUGGUUGUAAUAACUUCUAUGAAGGGAGUGAUAAAAAUUACUUGGAUCAGAUGUAGGGAUGACAUAGAAGAAAUAGCAUGCACGUAUGUGAUGUGCAUGUCAGACUAAAGCAAUCCAACAACUCAGUGUGAAUUCUCGUCAGGCAUUCAAAGGCAAUGAAUUUAGUUCAUCAGACUGCAUUAAGGUGUGGCGCAGAAGUGACAUGUCUUUACAUUCAGAGCUGGAUUUUCUGGGGCACUUCUGAAGUUUCUUACUUUUGCCUUGGAAAUAUACUAAAAGACUAUGGCCCCGGUACUCGUCAAUGCUAGCCGACAUCCUUGUGAAUUCACUCACUCUUUGAAAAUCAUCUAACUUGUGCACUAUCCAAGAGCAACCCACUAUUCAUCAGAAAGGAGGUGACAACCGUGUUGAAGAAAGCAUCCGAAUCACACACUAGGCCCCAGUAAAAAGUCUUUGCGUCCGACGAAGACUAUAAUUUGUAGCCUGGAGAUGGAGAUGGAGAUGAAUCAAUUUCUAAAGAUGUGCUGGGGACAAGCUUCACAGGAGCAGAAAACAAAUGAGAAAAGCAAUAUUCGAAAAAGAGGAGAAAAGAAAAAAAAAAGCUAUACACAAAAAGAAAGGAAAAAGAAACAGAAAAAAAAAGCGAUAUUCGAAAAAAGAAAAAGAAAUAGAAAAAAAAAGCGAUAUCCAAAAAAAGAAAAAGAAAAGAAGCAGAAAAAAGCAAUAUCUGGAAGAAAAAAGAAAAAACACACAAAAAAAGGAAUAUCCACAAGAAAAAGAAAAAAAGUGCUAUCCACUCUCCAACCUCGAGUUGCUGCUGUGGAUGUAAAGGCAAUUGAGUGAUUUGAAAAGAAAUUUUGCUCCUCGCCACACAGAAGAGACAACAGCUGAUAUUACUACGUAUGAGGCAAUCGAAGCUCUGAAAGAACCUCGGUGUCCUAAAACAUGUCGGGACCGUGUUUUGGAAGAGAUGGAUUGGUUGUCAAAGGAUUUUGAGUCAGAGAGGAAAUGGAAACUCGCUCAGGCCAAGAAAGUUGAAAUAAGAGCUAGCAAGAUCACGCUACAUACUACAAGAGGGGAGAAGAGUGUAAAGGUUUUAUACAAGCAUUAGUUAGAACUUGAUGAGAAGAAGAAGAAAGCACUUGAUAAGCAGAGCUUGAGUUCCUUCUUGGGCAAACCGAAAGAUAACAUAUUCUAAUCAUAACAGUUUGACUAUUUGCUGGGUGAAGCUAUAAUGAAACUAGAGGAGGUUCUACUAAUUGCAAAAGCAGAAAUGAGUUGAUUCAUGUUAUUUGUUGUUUCUCUUUGGGAUAGAAGUUUGUAUUGACCUCCAUAUAUAUGUAAAAAUAUUGAUACCUCCACUUCUCCUCUUUUAGGUGCUCGUCAAUGCUGGCCGAGACCCUGUGAAUUCCCCCACUCUUUGAAGAUCAUCUAACUUGUGCACUAUCAAAGAGCAACCCGCUAUUCCUGAGAAAGGAGGUGACGAACGUGUUAAAAUAAGCAUCCGAAUCACACAAUGGUACUCGUCAAUGCUGGCCGACAUCCUUGUGAAUUCACUCACUCUUUGAAAAUCAUCUAACUUGUGCACUAUUCGAGAGCAACCCACUAUUCAUCAGAAAGGAGGUGACAACCGUGUUAAAGAAAGCAUUCAAAUCACACACUAGGCCCCAGUAAAAAGUCUUUGCGCCCGACGAAGACUAUAAUUUGCAGCCUGGAGAUGGAGAUCGAGAUGAAUCAAUUUCUAAAGAUGUGCUGGGACAAGCUUCACAAGAGUAGAAAACAAAUGAGAAAAGCAAUAUUCGAAAAAGAUGGUAAAAGAAACACAAAAAAAAAAAAAAAAA